rnacentral:rRNA from 1 species
ACUCGAGUGGCGAACGGGUGAGUAACACGUGGGUGAUCUGCCUUGCACUUCGGGAUAAGCUUGGGAAACUGGGUCUAAUACCGGAUAGGACAGCUGUUUAGUGUCAGUUGUGGAAAGUUUUUUCGGUGCAAGAUGAGCUCGCGGCCUAUCAGCUUGUUGGUGGGGUAAUGGCCUACCAAGGCGUCGACGGGUAGCCGGCCUGAGAGGGUGUACGGCCACAUUGGGACUGAGAUACGGCCCAGACUCCUACGGGAGGCAGCAGUGGGGAAUAUUGCACAAUGGGCGGAAGCCUGAUGCAGCGACGCCGCGUGGGGGAUGAAGGCCUUCGGGUUGUAAACUCCUUUCGACAGGGACGAAGCGUAAGUGACGGUACCUGUAUAAGAAGCACCGGCUAACUACGUGCCAGCAGCCGCGGUAAUACGUAGGGUGCGAGCGUUGUCCGGAAUUACUGGGCGUAAAGAGCUCGUAGGUGGUUUGUCGCGUCGUCUGUGAAAUUCCGGGGCUUAACUCCGGGCGUGCAGGCGAUACGGGCUGACUUGAGUGCUGUAGGGGAGACUGGAAUUCCUGGUGUAGCGGUGAAAUGCGCAGAUAUCAGGAGGAACACCGAUGGCGAAGGCAGGUCUCUGGGCAGUAACUGACGCUGAGGAGCGAAAGCAUGGGUAGCGAACAGGAUUAGAUACCCUGGUAGUCCAUGCCGUAAACGGUGGGCGCUAGGUGUAGGGGGCUUCCACGUCUUCUGUGCCGUAGCUAACGCAUUAAGCGCCCCGCCUGGGAGUACGCCGCAAG